UACGUAGGUGGCAAGCGUUGUCCGGAUUUACUGGGCGUAAAGAGCGCGCAGGCGGUCGUCCAAGUCGCGUGUGAAAGCCCCCGGCUCAACUGGGGAGGUCACGCGAUACUGGUCGACUCGAAGGCAGGAGAGGGAUGUGGAAUUCCAGGUGUAGCGGUGAAAUGCGUAGAUAUCUGGAGGAACACCGGUGGCGAAGGCGGCAUCCUGGACCGACACUGACGCUGAGGAGCGAAAGCCAGGGGAGCAAACCGGGG
rnacentral:rRNA from 1 species